UACAGAGGGUGCAAGCGUUGUCCGGAAUCACUGGGCGUAAAGGGCGCGUAGGCGGCCUGGUAAAGUAGGGGGUGAAAAGAUCAGGGCUUAACCCUGAACCCGCCUUCUAAACUGCCAGGCUCGAGCACAGUAGAGGCAGGUUGGAAUUCCCGGUGUAGCGGUGGAAUGCGUAGAGAAUCGGGAAGAACAUCGGUGGCGAAGCGGCUGCUGGGCUGUAGCUGACGCUGAGGCGCGACAGCGUGGGGAGCAAACAGGAUUA
rnacentral:rRNA from 1 species